AUUAAUGUCAUUGAUCUAAUUCAUGAAAAACAAUUUGUGGAUAGAACCACACAUAGACACAUAUUACAAACAUUUAUGUAGGUGCAUGCUCGUGGUUGAUAAUCCAAGAGUUAGACAAUGACCUUUUUGCUUUCUAGAUUAAAAAAAAAAAAACAUCAAAUGGGUAAUGUCAUGUUACUAUGAUCAGUUGAUCUUACCCAUCAUGGGGAAAAAUAAUGGAACUUCUUCAAAAGCAAUCAUCUUUCUCCAUUACAAUUGUGGGAUCAAAUGAAAAAAUUUCAAGAAAAGAAGUAUUUAUGCCCAUUGUUUUCGUUUUUCCAAAUUGAACUACCAGUUCACCAUAUUAUAGCUUUUUUUCGUUAUAAUUGCCUAGCUAUGAGUUAUAUCAUUCAUAGACUUGUUGUUGCAGUACACACCAAAGUAAAUUUGAUAAAGCUUGUUUAUGUAAAGCUUUAUUGACACAAAAAAAAAGAAAAACAAAAAACAAA
rnacentral:lncRNA from 1 species